rnacentral:rRNA from 2 species
AGACCCGAAACCCGGUGAUCUAGCCAUGGGCAGGUUGAAGGUUGGGUAACACUAACUGGAGGACCGAACCGACUAAUGUUGAAAAAUUAGCGGAUGACCUGUGGCUGGGGGUGAAAGGCCAAUCAAACCGGGAGAUAGCUGGUUCUCCCCGAAAGCUAUUUAGGUAGCGCCUCGUGAAUUCAUCUCCGGGGGUAGAGCACUGUUUCGGCUAGGGGGCCAUCCCGGCUUACCAACCCGAUGCAAACUGCGAAUACCGGAGAAUGUUAUCACGGGAGACACACGGCGGGUGCUAACGUCCGUCGUGAAGAGGGAAACAACCCAGACCGCCAGCUAAGGUCCCAAAGUCAUGGUUAAGUGGGAAACGAUGUGGGAAGGCCCAGACAGCCAGGAUGUUGGCUUAGAAGCAGCCAUCAUUUAAAGAAAGCGUAAUAGCUCACUGGUCGAGUCGGCCUGCGCGGAAGAUGUAACGGGGCUAAACCAUGCACCGAAGCUGCGGCAGCGAACGUAUCACCCAAGACAACUUUACGGAGUUGACGAUUGACGGAGCGAAGCGACGUCAAAGCGUUCAUUAAAGUCGAGUUGGCUUAGGGAUACGUUCGUUGGGUAGGGGAGCGUUCUGUAAGCCUGUGAAGGUGUGUCGUGAGGCAUGCUGGAGGUAUCAGAAGUGCGAAUGCUGACAUAAGUAACGAUAAAGCGGGUGAAAAGCCCGCUCGCCGGAAGACCAAGGGUUCCUGUCCAACGUUAAUCGGGGCAGGGUGAGUCGACCCCUAAGGCGAGGCCGAAAGGCGUAGUCGAUGGGAAACGGGUUAAUAUUCCCGUACUUGGUGUUACUGCGAAGGGGGGACGGAGAAGGCUAUGUUGGCCGGGCGACGGUUGUCCCGGUUUAAGCGUGUAGGUGUGUGUUCCAGGUAAAUCCGGUUCACUUUAACACUGAGGCGUGACGACGAGGCACUACGGUGCUGAAGCAACAAAUGCCCUGCUUCCAGGAAAAGCCUCUAAGCAUCAGGUAACACGAAAUCGUACCCCAAACCGACACAGGUGGUCAGGUAGAGAAUACCAAGGCGCUUGAGAGAACUCGGGUGAAGGAACUAGGCAAAAUGGUGCCGUAACUUCGGGAGAAGGCACGCUGACACGUAGGUGAAGUGAUUUACUCAUGGAGCUGAAGUCAGUCGAAGAUACCAGCUGGC